CCGGCGGCGGGCCCUCGGCCGGGGCUCGGCCCUCGGUCGGGGCUCGGCCCGGUUCUGGCUCCGGGCCGGCGGCC
rnacentral:tRNA from 1 species